AACCCAUGAUGAGGGCGUCUUCUCAAAAGAUCAUUAAAUCUCUCUCAUGCAUCAUAUAAUGUCUCGAGCUUAAUUUGAGUAAACAAACAGAUGUCAUUCUUCAACUU
rfam:Gossypium hirsutum cultivar TM-1 unplaced genomic scaffold scaffold908.1, whole genome shotgun sequence